CAGGCCCCCACAGUGGUCGCCUGUGGCUCCUGGCCUUGCUCUGGCCAUGAAGUUCAAUGGUGGCAGCCAGGCUGGCGGUCCCAGCUCAGGUGGCUGGAGUGGAGCAGAGGAUACAGAGGCACCCUUUGAACUGAGUGUUUCUCUAUAUUUGUUACAGGCCAGGACUGCCAAGGCAGGUUUUUCUUCCGAGAACAUCCAGCCCUAUGCUAUGUGUAGUUUGAUCUUGAGAGACAUAUUCCACUUGACUAAACACCCAGGAACACAACUCAUUCAGACACUGUGCAUGUGUGGGACAUGUAUGAAAUAAUUUUAUUUCAGGGCAAAACUUCAACAGCACCAGAAACAGCAAAUGGGAGAAAAUUCUUCCAGAAUCAUUUUGGACAGGGAAGAUCUGCACAUUCAGUGAGUCACAGAAGCCCUUUACCUGCAAC
rnacentral:lncRNA from 1 species